CUCCCCCAGGGGCACGCAGCCGGGAACUGGGGGGCCCAGGUUCCACCCAGGCUGGCGCCCCCACACUCUGGACCACAUCGUCUGGCAGCUUCCCUCAGUGGGUGUUAGCAUUAUCCAAUUUUACCGGUGAGAGAGAGGAUUUCCAUUACUAAGUGAUGGACCCAGGGGGAGCCCAGAGUCACAGCCUCCUCUCUCCAAGGCCCCGAGCUUCCUGCAGAAGCUGGCGUGGGGGAGGGGAGGGAGGGGGCAGCAGUCCCCUGCAAGUGGCCAGGUGGGCCGCUGAGAUAAGAACUACCAGGCGGCCUCAACCACCAACCCCCCCACCCACACACACACCGCAUCCCCCCAGGGCUUGGAUCUCCUGCCGCCAGCUCGGACAGAGGCCAGGCUGGAGAGGAGCGAAGGGCGCACACGUGGGCGCAAGUGCGGGCCACUCUUUGGAAAAGUCUGGCUACAAAGAUGAACAUCGCGUCCAGAAUGCACCGGAACUGGACGCAUCCGCGGUCCCCUCUGCAGCAGCCACAGGUUGGUUUAUGGCCACCCCGCAUCUGUUCACCCCAGGACUGAAACAGGCCUAGAUCUGCACAGCGAUUCAGGGCGAGCACAGAGUCAAACAGGCCCGGUCUCAGCUGCUCCAGGGGUUCGGCCUGGCUGACCUGGGAGAUGACCCCCCCCUCUUUCCUGAUAGAUUUGAACCUGAGAAUAAAGCCAACAUCCUGCCUUACACAGAGGCUGGGACUAAUAACAGGCACACGGACUGUGCAUUUGCUCCCUGCCAGGCACCCUGCAUGCGUGAAUCUCAUCCAUCCCAAAAACGCACAAGCGAGGCCCUGCCUCUCCCCGCUCUAGCCGCCGAGGGAUUGAGCCCCUUGCACGGAUCACACGGCUGGCGAAUGAGGUGCCAGAGUUCACAUCCAGCUGUGUGAUUCCAAGUCCUCGCUCUUAACACCAGACCACCCUGCCAGAGGCUGACAGCAGUGAGCAGACCAAGCCACGGAAGGAGGAGGAACCAACACUGACUGAGACCUGAGUCACAGCAGGCCUGAGCCUUGACAGCCUUGGCCAGGGUCAGAGUUCCAUAGGAAACAUCUCAGUAUCUUCCCCCAAGAACAUCAAAGUCCCCGGCACAUCCCACACUCUGGCUCUCCAAGCACUGAAUUGAACAGACAGCAAAGGCAGGAAGUUGGGUGAAGAAAGCCUUUGCCAGGGCAGCUGGGUGGCUCAGUCCAUUGAGCAUCCGACUUCAGCUCAGGUCAUGAUCUCGCGGCUCUCGAGUUCGAGCCCCGUAUCCGGCUCGGAGCUGUCAGCACAGAGCCCGGGGCCGGCUUCAGAUUGUGUCUCCCUCUCUCUCUACCCCUCCCCCGCUCGCACUGUGUCUCCUUCUCAAAAAUAAGUAAACAUUAAAUAAACAUAUAAAGCCUUUGCCUACCCCCUUGGCUUGCCCCCUCCAGCAGACACAUGACACUGGAGGCACAGCCCUUCCCUCCACUGGAUCUCUCAGUACACCCCUACCACCACCCAGACUUGAAUCCAAAUGCCAGUCCAAAAGUCACGGCCCU